rnacentral:rRNA from 1 species
UACGUAAGGGGCGAGCGUUGCUCGGAAUUACUGGGCGUAAAGGGCGUGUAGGCGGUUAUCCAAGUCGAAUGUUAAAUACCGGGGCUCAACCCCGGAGAUGCAUUCGAAACUGGAUAGCUUGAGUCUGGUGGAGGGUAAUGGAAUUCCCGGUGUAGCGGUGAAAUGCGUAGAGAUCGGGAAGAACACCGAAGGCUAAAGCAGUUAUCUAUGCCAAGACUGACGCUGAGGCGCGAAAGCAUGGGUAU